GACGAACGCUGGCGGCGUGCUUAACACAUGCAAGUCGAGCGGUAAGGCCCUUUCGGGGGUACACGAGCGGCGAACGGGUGAGUAACACGUGGGUGACCUGCCCUCAGCUCUGGGAUAAGCCUGGGAAACCGGGUCUAAUACUGGAUAUGACUCCAUGACGCAUGUUGUGGGGUGGAAAGCCUUGUGCGGCUGAGGAUGGGCCCGCGGCCUAUCAGCUUGUUGGUGGGGUGAUGGCCUACCAAGGCGACGACGGGUAGCCGGCCUGAGAGGGCGACCGGCCACACUGGGACUGAGACACGGUCCAGACUCCUACGGGAGGCAGCAGUGGGGAAUUUUGGACAAUGGCGCAAGCCUGAUCCAGCCAUGCCGCGUGAGUGAAGAAGGCCUGGUGUAA
rnacentral:rRNA from 1 species